AGCUUUGCGCAGUGGCAGUAUCGUAGCCAAUGAGGUUUAUCCGAGGCGCAAUUAUUGCUAAUUGAAAAAUCUAUGCACAGAGACCAGCAGAUGGCAUAGAGGUUGACUCCCACGUAGUCAACCAAGAUUGGAGUCCCAGACCCAGUGGC
rnacentral:snRNA from 11 species